rnacentral:rRNA from 1 species
UACAGAGGGUGCGAGCGUUAAUCGGAAUUACUGGGCGUAAAGCGCGCGUAGACGGUUUUGUAAGUCAGAUGUGAAAUCCCUGGGCUCAACCUGGGAACUGCAUUUGAGACUGCAUGGCUAGAGUAUGGAAGAGGGAAGUGGAAUUCCCGGUGUAGCGGUGAAAUGCGUAGAUAUCGGGAGGAACGCCAGUGGCGAAGGCGGCUUCCUGGCCUGUCCCUGACGCUGAGACGCGAAAGCUGGGGGAGCGAACGGG